UACGUAGGGUGCAAGCGUUAAUCGGAAUUACUGGGCGUAAAGUGUGCGCAGGCGGUUAUGUAAGACAGAUGUGAAAUCCCCGGGCUCAACCUGGGAACUGCAUUUGUGACUGCAUAGCUAGAGUACGGUAGAGGGGAUGGAAUUCCGCGUGUAGCAGUGAAAUGCGUAGAUAUGCGGAGGAACACCGAUGGCGAAGGCAAUCCCCUGGACCUGUACUGACGCUCAUGCACGAAAGCGUGGGGAGCAAACAGG
rnacentral:rRNA from 1 species